AACCGAAAAUACAACACCAUACAGUGGAUCAUUUGGCUCAGGGGUCGAUGAAGAACGGAGCUAGCUCCGAGACGUAAUGUGAACUGCAGGACAUACGAAUAUCGACACUUUGAACGCAUAUUGCGGACGUGCACUUGUGCACGUCCAUGUUU
rnacentral:rRNA from 1 species